AAAACCAAGGCUAAGAGAAGUUAAAUAGCUUGCCUGUGGAUACACAGCAAGGAAACACAACACCUAGACUAAAAUCUAGGCCUGUCUGACCUCAAAACUUUCUUUCUUUGUGCCCAAGACCCUGGAAUUCAGAUGUCCUUGUUGUCAAAGACUGUACCAUUCAUGCACAUAUUGGGUUCUUCAGAAUGGCUUUCCAUGUUCACCUCUUCAACAUCAAGAACCUUUAUUGGGGUCUGUCAUUUGUUUGGCUUAUACAAGGAUGGAUCUCUGUCUACUGAUUACCUGACAGUGCUGAUUUAUGACCUGCUCACUGCAUCUUCGAUCUGCCACAUCAACCCAUCGUGUGGAUGAUGAAACAAAAGCUUAGAAAAGUUAAUUUGCCAAAGGGCUCAAAGCUAAAUGGUGGAUACAAGACUGAGACCCAGAUCUCUCUGGUUGCAAAGGCUUUGUUCUUUCCACUGUACAAUACUUUCUUCCCAAAGGAAUAUAUUUGUCACCUCAAAUGUGGUUCAGCUUCGUAAGGCUUGAGAGUGCACAUUUUCCUUUGUCAAAGAUGAAGAACCAAUUUUGAUACUUCAGAGAACAGUAUCAAAGAAAAUUGCACCCAGAAGUCCAUUCCGAGCAAUAUUUUCCCCACACGCUGCCAACUGAUGCUGAGACAGCUGCACAGGCUUUCCUGAGAAAUGUUAUCAUCAAGGCUGCAUUAUAAUGCAAAAUACACCCGGACACCAAGAUGUAAUUCCACCUUUGAACAUUUACAACGUUGGCUUACUAGUC